rnacentral:ncRNA from 1 species
UCUUAUCCAGAGAGGUGGAGGGACUGGCCCUUUGAUACCUCGGCAGCGGGCUUUCAACUGAAAGUACUGUGCCAAUUCCAGCAAGUUAGUGAUUGCUAACUUGGAAGAUAAGA